GGCUGAAAUUUGGUCAUCGUACAUGUUAGUCGACGCGCAGCGAGAGGUGCUUGCACCUUUCAAGCGAGUGGCGAACGGGUGAGUAACACGUGGAUAACCUGCCUCAAGGCUGGGGAUAACAUUUGGAAACAGAUGCUAAUACCGAAUAAAACUUAGUAUCGCAUGAUAUCAAGUUAAAAGGCGCUACGGCGUCACCUAGAGAUGGAUCCGCGGUGCAUUAGUUAGUUGGUGGGGUAAAGGCUUACCAAGACGAUGAUGCAUAGCCGAGUUGAGAGACUGAUCGGCCACAUUGGGACUGAGACACGGCCCAAACUCCUACGGGAGGCUGCAGUAGGGAAUCUUCCACAAUGGGCGCAAGCCUGAUGGAGCAACGCCGCGUGUGUGAUGAAGGCUUUCGGGUCGUAAAGCACUGUUGUAUGGGAAGAAAUGCUAAAAUAGGGAAUGAUUUUAGUUUGACGGUACCAUACCAGAAAGGGACGGCUAAAUACGUGCCAGCAGCCGCGGUAAUACGUAUGUCCCGAGCGUUAUCCGGAUUUAUUGGGCGUAAAGCGAGCGCAGACGGUUGAUUAAGUCUGAUGUGAAAGCCCGGAGCUCAACUCCGGAAUGGCAUUGGAAACUGGUUAACUUGAGUGUUGUAGAGGUAAGUGGAACUCCAUGUGUAGCGGUGGAAUGCGUAGAUAUAUGGAAGAACACCAGUGGCGAAAGGCGGCUUACUGGACAACAACUGACGUUGAGGCUCGAAAGUGUGGGUAGCAAACAGGAUUAGAUACCUGGUAGUCCACACCGUAAACGAUGAAUACUAGGUGUUAGGAGGUUUCCGCCUCUUAGUGCCGAAGCUAACGCAUUAAGUAUUCCGCCUGGGGAGUACGACCGCAAGGUUGAAACUCAAAGGAAUUGACGGGGACCCGCACAAGCGGUGGAGCAUGUGGUUUAAUUCGAAGCAACGCGAAGAACCUUACCAGGUCUUGACAUCCUUUGAAGCUUUUAGAGAUAGAAGUGUUCUCUUCGGAGACAAAGUGACAGGUGGUGCAUGGUCGUCGUCAGCUCGUGUCGUGAGAUGUUGGGUUAAGUCCCGCAACGAGCGCAACCCUUAUUGUUAGUUGCCAGCAUUCAGUUGGGCACUCUAGCGAGACUGCCGGUGACAAACCGGAGGAAGGCGGGGACGACGUCAGAUCAUCAUGCCCCUUAUGACCUGGGCUACACACGUGCUACAAUGGCGUAUACAACGAGUUGCCAACCUGCGAAGGUGAGCUAAUCUCUUAAAGUACGUCUCAGUUCGGACUGCAGUCUGCAACUCGACUGCACGAAGUCGGAAUCGCUAGUAAUCGCGGAUCAGCACGCCGCGGUGAAUACGUUCCCGGGUCUUGUACACACCGCCCGUCACACCAUGGGAGUUUGUAAUGCCCAAAGCCGGUGGCCUAACCUUCGGGAGGGAGCCGUCUAAGGCAGGACAGAUGACUGGGGGAAGUACGUAGACGAGUGAUCC
rnacentral:rRNA from 1 species